rnacentral:miRNA from 1 species
AGGGAAGGAGGCUUGGUCUUAGUGCGGGGUCUAAGGCCGGGGCUUUCCUCCCAG